UUAAGCAUAUAAUUAAGCGGAGGAAAAGAAACUAACUAGGAUUCCCCCAGUAAGGGCGACUGAAGCGGGANGAGCUCAAGAUGUGAAUCUGCACUUUUUACAGGUGCCGAAUUGUGGUCUGAAGACUGUGACAUUAUCUGCCGGGCCAAGUCCCUUGGAAAAGGGCAGCUGAGAGGGUGAGACUCCCGUCCGCCUGGUGGAAUGAGUCGCAAGUCAACGAGUCGAGUUGUUUGGGAUUGCAGCUCAAAGCUGGUGGUAAAUUCCAUCUAAAGCUGAAUAUUGGUGGGAGACCGAUAGCGUACAAGUACCGUGAGGGAAAGAUGCAAAGAACUUUGAAAAGAGAGUUAAAGAGUACCUGAAAUUGCUGAAAGGGAAGCGAAGGAAACCAGUGUGUUGCUUGGCCAUACUUCCGUUGUCACUUGUGAUGGCGGCGCUGUGGCCNGCAGUGGUUCCGCUUGCUUGCCCCCGCUGGAAGAGCGCAGGCAGAGUUGAUGUCUGUUGCUGGCAGUGGGUGGUGAGUGAGCGAGACGAAAUGGUUUUCUUUACCCCGUCUUGAAACCGGGAAC
rnacentral:rRNA from 1 species